UACGUAGGGUGCAAGCGUUGUCCGGAUUUAUUGGGCGUAAAGAGCUCGUAGGCGGUCAGUCACGUCGGAUGUGAAAACUCAGAGCUUAACUCUGAGCCUGCAUUCGAUACGGGCUGACUAGAGUGUUGUAGGGGAGACUGGAACUCCUGGUGUAGCGGUGAAAUGCGCAGAUAUCAGGAAGAACACCGGUGGCGAAGGCGGGUCUCUGGGCAACUACUGACGCUGAGGAGCGAAAGCGUGGGGAGCAAACAGGAUUAGAUACCCUGGUAGUCCACGCCGUAAACGGUGGGCGCUAGGUGUGGGGAACAUUCCACGUUCUCCGUGCCGCAGCUAACGCAUUAAGCGCCCCGCCUGGGGAGUACGGCCGCAAGGCUA
rnacentral:rRNA from 1 species